rnacentral:rRNA from 1 species
UUCCAGACUCCUACGGGAGGCAGCAGUGGGGGAUAUUGCACAAUGGGGGGAACCCUGAUGCAGCGACGCCGCGUGGGCGAUGGAGCGCCUCGGCGCGUAAAGCCCUAUCAGCAGGGAAGAAAAUGGCGGUACCUGACUAAGAAGCCCCGGCUAAAUACGUGCCAGCAGCCGCGGUAAUACGUAUGGGGCAAGCGUUAUCCGGAUUUACUGGGUGUAAAGGGAGCGCAGGCGGCCUGGCAAGCCUGAUGUGAAAUACCGGGGCCCAACCCCGGGGCUGCAUUGGGAACUGCCAGGCUGGAGUGCCGGAGAGGCAGGCGGAAUUCCUAGUGUAGCGGUGAAAUGCGUAGAUAUUAGGAGGAACACCAGUGGCGAAGGCGGCCUGCUGGACGGUGACUGACGCUGAGGCUCGAAAGCGUGGGGAGCAAACAGGAUUAGAUACCCGCGUA